rnacentral:rRNA from 1 species
GUGGGGAAUCUUAGACAAUGGGGGAAACCCUGAUCUAGCCAUGCCGCGUGAGCGAUGAAGGCCUUAGGGUUGUAAAGCUCUUUCAGCUGGGAAGAUAAUGACGGUACCAGCAGAAGAAGCCCCGGCUAACUCCGUGCCAGCAGCCGCGGUAAUACGGAGGGGGCUAGCGUUGUUCGGAAUUACUGGGCGUAAAGCGCGCGUAGGCGGACCAGAAAGUUGGAGGUGAAAUCCCAGGGCUCAACCUUGGAACUGCCUUCAAAACUCCUGGUCUGGAGUUCGAGAGAGGUGAGUGGAAUUCCGAGUGUAGAGGUGAAAUUCGUAGAUAUUCGGAGGAACACCAGUGGCGAAGGCGGCUCACUGGCCCGUUACUGACGCUGAGGCGCGAAAGCGUGGGGAGCAAACAGGAUUAGAAACCCGUGUAGUCC